UAAUCUCAAUUCCCUCAGGCAUUUUUUAUGCCUGUUCAGGGGUUUUGGAUUUGGGGGGUCUUGUGCAGGUUCUCCUUAUAAUAGGGAAUCAGCUCCUCUUAAAAAUAUUAGCUGGAGGAUGAAGCAAAAAUGGCCUUAGCAUUGUUCCAUUAGCUUAUGGUGUAAUAAUUGUUUCAUCAUGGCCAAUCAUAUAUGGGUGAUCCAAUGCCAAUAGGGGGAAAUAAAAUAACCCCAGGGAGGCUUUUUUGGUAGCAUUUCUCUGCUUCUAAUUUGUCAGAUCUAUCUGACAAUUCAUGUAUUCU
rnacentral:misc_RNA from 1 species